rnacentral:rRNA from 1 species
AACGAACGCUGGCGGUAUGCUUAACACAUGCAAGUCGAACGAAUACGGCCUAGUUUACUAGGUGUCGGUUAGUGGCGGACGGGUGAGUAACGCGUGGGAAUCUACCUAGUAGUAAGGAAUAACCAUUAGAAAUGAUGGCUAAUACCUUAUACGCCCUUCGGGGAAAGCUUUAGUGCUAUUAGAUGAGCCCGCGUUAGAUUAGCUUGUUGGUAGGGUAAUGGCCUACCAAGGCGACGAUCUAUAGCUGGUCUGAGAGGAUGAUCAGCCACACUGGAACUGAGACACGGUCCAG